UGAGUCCUCUACACUGUGGGCUGAUGUUUCUGUAUGGCUGAUGGACUGUGAAUAUAAUAGCUUGAUUGUCACGUUCGGACCAAGGCACAGCGGAGAGAGAGAGAGACAGAGCGAGAGAGAGAGAGACAGAGAGUGAGAGAGCGAGAGAAAGACAGAGAGUGAAAGAGGGGGAGAGAGAGAGAAAAGACUGCAUUCAUCUGUGUUACAACCUUUUCCUUGCCAAACUGAAAUGAUGUGCCAGCCGAGAAUCUAACGUGCAUAUCUUCAGAGUUGAUGACAUCACCAGAACAAGAAACAGUAUAAGAAGAGAAGAGAAGAGAGAGAGAGAGAGAGAGAGAGAGAGAGAGAGAGAGAGAGAGAGAGAGAG